GACGAACGCUGGCGGCGUGCUUAACACAUGCAAGUCGAACGAUGAAGCGGGUGCUUGCACUCGUGGAUUAGUGGCGAACGGGCGAGUAACACGUGAGUAACCUGUCCUUUUCUUUGGGAUAACGGCUGGAAACGGCUGCUAAUACUGGAUAUUCAGGCUGCAUCGCAUGGUGUGGUUUGGAAAGGUUUUUUCUGGGAUUGGGUGGGCUCGCGGCCUAUCAGCUUGUUGGUGGGGUGAUGGCUUACCAAGGCUUUGACGGGUAGCCGGCCUGAGAGGGUGGUCGGUCGCACUGGGACUGAGAUACGGCCCAGACUCCUACGGGAGGCAGCAGUGGGGAAUAUUGCACAAUGGACGAAAGUUUGAUGCAGCGACGCCGCGUGGAGGGUGUAGGCCUUCGGGUUGUGAACUCCUUUUUCUAGCGAAAAAGGCACAGUUUUGGCUGUGUUGAUGGUAGUGGGGGAAGAAGCGCCGGCUAACUACGUG
rnacentral:rRNA from 1 species